rnacentral:rRNA from 1 species
UACGAGUGCCUCAAGCGUUAUCCGGAAUCAUUGGGCGUAAAGGUUGUGUAGGUGGUCAUAUUAGUCUUCUGUUAAAUUCUUCGGCUUAACCGUGGGCAUGCAGAGGAAACGGUAUGACUCGAGGAUGCGAGGGGUCUGUGGAACUCAUAGUGUAGCGGUGAAAUGCGUUGAUAUUAUGGGGAACACCAAAAGCGAAGGCAGCAGACUGGAGCACUCCUGACACUGAAACAAGAAAGCGUGGGUCGCGAAUGGG